rnacentral:rRNA from 1 species
CGUCUAGGCGGAUGUGUAAGUCAGGUGUGAAAUCCCCCGGCUCAACCGGGGAACUGCAUUUGAUACUGCAUGUCUUGAGUACGGGAGAGGGAAGCGGAAUUCCUGGUGUAGCGGUGAAAUGCGUAGAUAUCAGGAAGAACACCGGUGGCGAAGGCGGCUUCCUGGACCGUUACUGACGCUGAAGCGCGAAAGUGUGGGGAGCAAACAGGAUUAGAUACCCUGGUAGUCC